rnacentral:rRNA from 1 species
AGUGGCGAACGGGUGAGUAAUACAUAAAUAAUCUGCCCAUAUGACUGGGAUAACUAUUGGAAACGAUAGCUAAUACCGGAUAGGUUGAUCGGAGGCAUCUCUGAUGAAUUAAAGUAGGAUUUCUACACAAAUGGAUGAGUUUAUGGCGCAUUAGUUAGUUGGUGGGGUAACGGCCUACCAAGACGAUGAUGCGUAGCCGACCUGAGAGGGUGACCGGCCACACUGGGACUGAGACACGGCCCAGACUCCUACGGGAGGCAGCAGUAGGGAAUUUUCGGCAAUGGGCGCAAGCCUGACCGAGCAACGCCGCGUGAGUGAUUAAGGCCUUCGGGUUGUAAAGCUCUGUUGUAAGGGAAGAACAUUCAGGAUAGGAAAUGAUCUUGAACUGACGGUACCUUACCAGAAAGCCACGGCUAACUACGUGCCAGCAGCCGCGGUAAUACGUAGGUGGCAAGCGUUAUCCGGAAUUAUUGGGCGUAAAGGGUGCGUAGGCGGUUUAUUAAGUCUAUGGUGAAAGUGCGGGGCUCAACCCCGUAUGGCCAUAGAAACUGGUAGACUUGAGUGCAGGAGAGGGCAAUGGAAUUCCAUGUGUAGCGGUAAAAUGCGUAGAUAUAUGGAGGAACACCAGUGGCGAAGGCGGUUGCCUGGCCUGUAACUGACGCUGAAGCACGAAAGCGUGGGGAGCAAAUAGGAUUAGAUACCCUAGUAGUCCACACA